rnacentral:lncRNA from 10 species
CACAACACACACGCAACUGAGGCUCAGAAAGGGCGAGCCAUGAGCUGAAGGUCACAAAGCAGGAAGAGGCAGGCUAGACUGGAACUGGCUUUGGCUUGGGUUUGGCUAAGUCACUCCUUUAGGAGGAGGAAGCACAUGUUUUUAUGACUAGAGCCUCCGGAGCCACAGCUUCCCGACCUACGUGGAGCUUCCGUCUCUUUUCUGUAUAUAAAUCGCUUCCCCAACCCCAUGCCAAAGAGAACUCCAAAUAACAACACAAGCUUAGCUUUUGCUUUAGAAGUUUCUAGAAUUUAGUUGAUGCUAUUGGAGCUAUCAUGAACUGAUACAGUCCCCGUGGGGAGUGACUGUAUGAGCUCGAACUGGACUUGGACAUUUCUCCAGCCCUCUGUGGUUCCAGUUGAGAAAAAUCCAGUCCUUCCAUGAGACCUCGGUACACACAGAACUCCUCCUACCACGUGCAACCUUAUUCUCGGCUGAGCAACUCAUAAAUCGCAUAACAAAAACAGUGAUUGAUGCGGACUGUGUUUAGUGCCAUCCUUGCCGGUGAGAGGGAGUGAGCCAGCAAGCUUCCUUAAAUCUCUUUAGUUCUCCAAAAGGAGAGGCCAUUUGCCUUCUCAUCUAUGCCGCAAGUUUCUGGGGCUUGCAUCAUUAACCUGGUGGCUUUGCCAAUUCCUUCGCCAGUGCUGGGUCAAAGACAGGCAAGGGCACCAGGGUUAGCCAUGAGUGUGUGCCAGGGGCUGAAUGCAAAACCCGGGAGCACUGGUGGCUGGGGCAGGUGGGCUGGGCUCUGCCACUGCCUCCCCCAGCCCACCCAAGAGGGGCGUGUGCCUCUGCAGGAAAUGGCCUCCAAGCAUUUCUCAAGACUUACGAGAUGUUCAAACCUACACAGUCAGAGACAAAGAGCUAGCUAUAAGUGGGGUCUUUUUCCCCUCCUCAAAAUUCAUCCUGCAGAAGUAGACAUGUGCUAAACAGUGCAUGGCCACACAAAUGCUUGGAUACCAAUGUUCACAGCAGCGUUGUCCUAAUGGCCCCAAAGUAGCAACAGCCCAAAUGUUUGUCAACUGAUGGAUGGAUAAACGAAGGCGGCCGGGCGCGGUGGCUCACACCUGUAAUCCCAGCACUUUGGGAGGCUGAGGCGGGUGGAUCACCUGAGGUCAGGAGUUUGAGACCAGCCUGACCAACAUGGAGAAACCCUGUCUCUAUUAAAAUACAAAAUUAGCCGGGCGUGGUGGCACAUGCCUGUAAU